rnacentral:lncRNA from 1 species
UGUGAUUACCUCCUCUGAUUCUAGCUCAUUUUCUGCUUCUAGAGAUACCUCUUGAGGAUCGUCAUUAUUCUCUACUAUUGUUUUCGUAGUAGUGGUUUCUGGGCUACUCAAUACUUUGUCCGAUUAAAGUGCUACUACUUUCAUAUACUCUUUACCUUCUCUCAGUAGAUUAUCUUCUGUGUUGCUGGGAAUACCUAUGCCAAUUUGUCUCGAUGUCACCCAUCAUGCUCAUCAUUUGACUCAUUUA